UACGUAGGGAGCGAGCGUUGUCCGGAUUCAUUGGGCGUAAAGAGCUCGUAGGCGGCUUGGCAAGUCGGGUGUGAAAACUCCAGGCUCAACCUGGAGACGCCACCCGAUACCUGCCAUGGCUAGAGUCCGGUAGGGGACCACGGAAUUCCUGGUGUAGCGGUGAAAUGCGCAGAUAUCAGGAGGAACACCGGUGGCGAAGGCGGUGGUCUGGGCCGGAACUGACGCUGGAGGAGCGAAAGCGUGGGGAGCGAAC
rnacentral:rRNA from 1 species